rnacentral:lncRNA from 1 species
UGUGCCCUUGCUAAUAGGUAGGAAGUGUUAUUCUUAUUAGUAGUCGUAGUGUUAUGCGUAUAGUUUCUUGUUCUUGAAUUUUUGUUGACUGUUGUUUCGGGUAGAGCGAUCAUAGUAUUAUUUUGUGGUAGUAUUUGCUCUGUUACUCUCUCUUGUUUUGUUCUUCUCUAUCGUCGUCUCUUGUACUUCUGUUAUGUCUUUU